rnacentral:rRNA from 1 species
CGGUACGAGAUGAGCCCGCGGCCUAUCAGCUUGUUGGUGGGGUAAUGGCCUACCAAGGCGUCGACGGGUAGCCGGCCUGAGAGGGUGGACGGCCACAUUGGGACUGAGAUACGGCCCAGACUCCUACGGGAGGCAGCAGUGGGGAAUAUUGCACAAUGGGCGCAAGCCUGAUGCAGCGACGCCGCGUGAGGGAUGACGGCCUUCGGGUUGUAAACCUCUUUCGACAGGGACGAAGCUUUUUGUGACGGUACCUGUAUAAGAAGCACCGGCUAACUACGUGCCAGCAGCCGCGGUAAUACGUAGGGUGCGAGCGUUGUCCGGAAUUACUGGGCGUAAAGAGCUCGUAGGUGGUUUGUCGCGUCGUCUGUGAAAUUCCGGGGCUUAACUCCGGGCGUGCAGGCGAUACGGGCAUAACUUGAGUGCUGUAGGGGAGACUGGAAUUCCUGGUGUAGCGGUGGAAUGCGCAGAUAUCAGGAGGAACACCGAUGGCGAAGGCAGGUCUCUGGGCAGUAACUGACGCUGAGGAGCGAAAGCAUGGGGAGCGAACAGGAUUAGAUACCCUGGUAGUCCAUGCCGUAAACGGU